CUUAGUCUAAAAAACCAAGACUUUCAAAAGUUUCCAAAUCUUGGCACCAAACACCAACUUAGUCCAGUCCCACCACCAAACAUAACUUGUGUGAAAAGCAACUAAAUUGCAACAUUUCUUGGACCUAUAUUUUGACACUAGUCGUCAUUUGGGGAUUUAAAGAGUGUAUUCAAGCCCGUAAGUCUAAAAAACCAAGAAUGUCAAAAAUUUCCAAAUCUUGGUACCAAGCACAAACUUAGUACAGUCUCACCACCAAACAUAGCUUGCUUGAAAAGCAACUAAAUGGAAACAUUUCUUCUACCUAUAUUUUGACACUAUUUAUGAUUUGGAGAUUUAAAGAGUGCAUUGUUGCUCCUUAGUUUAAAAAACCAAGACUUUCAAAAGCAUCUAAAUUGAAACAUUUCUUGCACCUAUAUUUUGACACUAGUGGUCAUUUGGAGAUUUUAAGAGUGCAUUGCAGACUCUAAGUCUAAAAACCCAAGACUUUCAAAACUUUCCAAAUCUUGGCACCAAGCAUGAACUUAGUCCAGUCCCACCACUAAAGAUACUUUGCUUGAAAAGCAACUAAAUUUAAACAUUUCUUGCACAUAUAUUUUGACACUAGUCCUCCUUUGGGGAUUUAAAGAGUGCAUUGCAGCCCUUAAGUCUAAAAAACCAAGACUUUCAAAAAUUUCCAAAUCUUGGCACCAAGCAUCAACUUCGUACAAUCUCACCA
rnacentral:lncRNA from 1 species